AGCGAACGCUAGCGGCAGGCCUAACACAUGCAAGUCGAACGAACCCUUCGGGGUUAGUGGCGGACGGGUGAGUAACACGUGGGAACGUGCCUUUAGGUUCGGAAUAACUCAGGGAAACUUGUGCUAAUACCGAAUGUGCCCUUCGGGGGAAAGAUUUAUCGCCUUUAGAGCGGCCCGCGUCUGAUUAGCUAGUUGGUGAGGUAAAGGCUCACCAAGGCUACGAUCAGUAGCUGGUUUGAGAGGAUGACCAGCCACAUUGGGACUGAGACACGGCCCAAACUCCUACGGGAGGCAGCAGUGGGGAAUCUUGCGCAAUGGGCGAAAGCCUGACGCAGCCAUGCCGCGUGGAUGAUGAAGGUCUUAGGAUUGUAAAAUCCUUUCACCGGUGAAGAUAAUGACUGUAGCCGGAGAAGAAGCCCCGGCUAACUUCGUGCCAGCCGCCGCAGUAACAC
rnacentral:rRNA from 1 species